CACGUAGGGCGCAAGCGUUGUCCGGAAUUACUGGGCGUAAAGCGUGCGUAGACGGUUGCGUAAGUCAGAUGUGAAAGCCCCGGGCUCAACCUGGGAAUUGCAUUUGAGACUGCGUAGCUAGGGUGCGGAAGAGGGAAGCGGAAUUUCCGGUGUAGCGGUGAAAUGCGUAGAUAUCGGAAGGAACACCAGUGGCGAAAGCGGCUUCCUGGUCCAGCACCGACGUUCAGGCACGAAAGCGUGGGGAGCAAACAGG
rnacentral:rRNA from 1 species